rnacentral:rRNA from 1 species
GAGGAAUAUUGGUCAAUGGACGAGAGUCUGAACCAGCCAAGUAGCGUGAAGGAUGACUGCCCUAUGGGUUGUAAACUUCUUUUAUAUGGGAAUAAAGGAGCCUACGUGUAGGUUUUUGUAUGUACCAUACGAAUAAGGAUCGGCUAACUCCGUGCCAGCAGCCGCGGUAAUACGGAGGAUCCAAGCGUUAUCCGGAUUUAUUGGGUUUAAAGGGAGCGUAGGUGGAGGCUUAAGUCAGUUGUGAAAGUUUGCGGCUCAACCGUAAAAUUGCAGUUGAUACUGGGUUUCUUGAGUACAGUAGAGGUGGGCGGAAUUCGUGGUGUAGCGGUGAAAUGCUUAGAUAUCACGAAGAACUCCAAUUGCGAAGGCAGCUCACUAGACUGGCACUGACACUGAUGCUCGAAAGUGUGGGUAUCAAAC